GUCUUUUUGAUUAUAAUUUAAAGUCUAACCUGCCCAAUGAAUAUUAAAUGGCCGCGGUAUUUUGACCGUGCAAAGGUAGCAUAAUCAUUAGUUUUUUAAUUAAAAGCUGGAAUGAAUGGUUGGACGAGAAAAUUACUGUCUCAAUUUAAUUUAAUUAGAAUUUUAUUUUUAAGUUAAAAAGCUUAAAUAAAUUUAAAAGACGAGAAGACCCUAUAGAGUUUAAUAUUAUUAAUAAUUAUAUUUUUUAUAAAUUUUACAAUUUUUUAUAAUAUUUUAUUGGGGUGAUAAAUAAAUUUAUAAAACUUUAUUUUAUUUUUUACAUAAAUAAAUGAUUAAUUGAUCCAUUAAUAAUGAUUAUAAGAUUAAAUUACCUUAGGGAUAACAGCGUAAUUUUUUUAGAGAGUUCAAAUCGAAAAAAAAGAUUGCGACCUCGAUGUUGGAUUAAAGUUAAUUUUUGGUGUAGAAGCUAAAAUAUUAAGUCUGUUCGACUUUUAAAACUUUACAUGAUCUGAGUUUAAACCGGCGUGAGCCAGGUUGGUUUCUAUCUUUAAAUAAAUAAAAUAUUUUAGUACGAAAGGACCAAAUAUUUAUAAUAAUUAUUUAUUUUUGAAUAU
rnacentral:rRNA from 1 species